AGUCUCUUGCUUAAUCUGUCUAUUGAUUCAAAACAAGCUUGGACAAAUUUAGAAAUUAGUCCGAAUUCAUCACAAGACAAGAUGAACAAAGGGAUCCUCCUCAUUGUCAUCCCCUGUUUUCUGGCCUUUGUUCUGAUUCAGACCAUCCAGGGUCAUUACGGGGGAUACGGGGGGUACGGAACGUACGGAACGUACGGAAUGUAUGGCGGAUACGGAGGGUAUCCCUACAUAGGCUCCCAGGCCGGAGGCUAUUACGGUAACGACCGCGAGAGGAUGAAGACGGCCGCCAUCUUUAGUAGUUUCAUCGGGUUCUUUGUCGUUCUGUUCCUAUUUAACUAUACCGGGCAGAUCCUAGGAUAAACGAAAUAUCAACCUACACCGCCACAUAUUGUUCAACCACAGGGGUCUACAGCAGUCAGCCAAAGUUUUCUUGCGUAUUUAUGUGAAGGAUAUUCUGCAUUUCUGUGAAAGACAUUCUGCAUUUCUGUGAAAGACAUUCUGCAUUUCCGUGAAAGACAUUCUGUAUUUCUGUGAAAGAUGUGCCUUUAUUAUUGUAUAAAUAAAGAGUUUGCGAAGAGA